GGGAAGGCCCGAAAAAGUGAUCGUGCCAAUCACGGCGCCGGCAGGCUACAGCGCACCGCCACAAUGACGGAAUAUAAACUAGGUGUCGUCGGUGCCGGUGGUGUGGGAAAGAGUGCCUUGACAAUCCAGCUCAUACAGAACCACUUUGUGGAUGAAUAUGAC